UACGUAGGGUGCAAGCGUUGUCCGGAAUUAUUGGGCGUAAAGAGCUCGUAGGCGGUUUGUCGCGUCGAAUGUGAAAACCCGGGGCUCAACCCCGGGCCUGCAUUCGAUACGGGCGGACUAGAGUUCGGUAGGGGAGUCUGGAAUUCCUGGUGUAGCGGUGAAAUGCGCAGAUAUCAGGAGGAACACCGGUGGCGAAGGCGGGUCUCUGGGCCGAUACUGACGCUGAGGAGCGAAAGCGUGGGGAGCGAACAGG
rnacentral:rRNA from 1 species